rnacentral:rRNA from 1 species
AUUGAACGCUGGCGGCAUGCCUUACACAUGCAAGUCGAACGGUAACGCGGGGCAACCUGGCGACGAGUGGCGAACGGGUGAGUAAUGUAUCGGAACGUGCCCAGUUGUGGGUGAUAACUGCUCGAAAGAGCAGCUAAUACCGCAUACGACCUGAGGGUGAAAGCGGGGGAUCGCAAGACCUCGCGCAAUUGGAGCGGCCGAUAUCAGAUUAGGUAGUUGGUGGGGUAAAGGCGCACCAAGCCAACGAUCUGUAGCUGGUCUGAGAGGACGACCAGCCGCACUGGGACUGAGACACGGCCCAGACUACUACGGGAGGCAGCAGUGGGGAAUUUUGGACAAUGGACGCAAGUCUGAUCCAGCCAUGCCGCGUGCGGGAAGAAGGCCUUCGGGUUGUAAACCGCUUUUGUCAGGGAAGAAACGCUCUGGGUUAAUACCUCGGGGUAAUGACGGUACCUGAAGAAUAAGCACCGGCUAACUACGUGCCAGCAGCCGCCGUAAAAC